rnacentral:rRNA from 1 species
GGCCUACGGGAGGCAGCAGCUAAGAAUCUUCCGCAAUGGACGAAAGUCUGACGGAGCGACGCCGCGUGGGUGAAGAAGGCCGUGAGGUUGUAAAGCCCUUUUCUGCUUGAGGAAUAAGCCUGGGAGGAAAUGCCUGGGUGAUGACGGUAGGGCAGGAAUAAGCCCCGGCUAAUUACGUGCCAGCAGCCGCGGUAAUA